rnacentral:rRNA from 1 species
GACAGAGGGUGCGAACGUUGUUCGGAAUUACUGGGCGUAAAGCGCGUGUAGGCGGCAGCGCAAGUCGGGCGUGAAAUCCCACGGCUCAACCGUGGAAGUGCACUCGAAACUGCGCAGCUAGAGUCCUGGAGAGGAAGGUGGAAUACUUGGUGUAGAGGUGAAAUUCGUAGAUAUCAAGCGGAACACCGGUGGCGAAGGCGGCCUUCUGGACAGUGACUGACGCUGAGACGCGAAAGCGUGGGGAGCAAACAGG